rnacentral:rRNA from 1 species
CCAGCAGCCGCGGUAAUUCCAGCUCCAAUAGCGUAUAUUAAAGUUGUUGUGGUUAAAAAGCUCGUAGUUGGAUCUCAACAGCGUGGUGGCGGUCGGCAUGCUUGCCGUUACUGCUGUCUUGCGCUGUGCUUUUGCUGGAGGUUUAGAGGUGCUCUUGAUCGAGUGUCUCUAGAUGCCAGCAGGUUUACUUUGAAAAAAUUAGAGUGCUCAAAGCAGGCUAUUCCGCCUGAAUAUUCGUGCAUGGAAUAAUAGAAUAGGAUGUCGAUCCUAUUUUGUUGGUUUUCGGGACUCGACAUAAUGAUUAAUAGGGACAAUUGGGGGCAUUUGUAUUCAAACGACAGAGGUGAAAUUCUUGGACCGUUUGAAGACGAACUACUGCGAAAGCAUUUGCCAAGAAUGUUUUCAUUAAUCAAGAACGAAAGU